rnacentral:tmRNA from 1 species
GGGGGCGUUCUGGAUUCGACGGGGGUAGUUCGGGCAUGAGUAGCGAGUCGGGGGGCUGCGGGCCUCGUUAACAACGCGGAGUUAAAUAUAACUGCAAAACAACCUAAAUUACAAUUAGCUGCUUAAUUGCAGCCUAAUCCUUCCUUAGCGGAUCGCCCAUGUUUGCUAUAGAAGGUCAUCUCAGUGGGAUAGCUCGUCCGGACCGUUACUGACCGGAAAGUGAACUGUAGGUAACUAGCCAAUCCAGAAGCCUGUCGUUGGGCGUCGGUGAGGCGAAUCUUAAUGCAGCGACUGCACUCGGAGAAGCUUAUGUUGCGUUGCUUUCGGACGUGGGUUCGAUUCCCACCGCCUCCACCA